UACGAAGGGGGGCUAGCGUUGCUCGGAAUGACUGGGCGUAAAGGGCGCGUAGGCGGCUUGCACAGUCAGGCGUGAAAUUCCUGGGCUCAACCUGGGGGACUGCGCUUGAGACGUGUGGGCUUGAGUGGGGGAAGAGGGUCGUGGAAUUCCCAGUGUAGAGGUGAAAUUCGUAGAUAUUUGGGAAGAACACCGGUGGCGAAGGCGGCGACCUGGUCCUUGACUGACGCUGAGGCGCGGAAGCCGUGGGGGAGCAAACAGG
rnacentral:rRNA from 1 species